rnacentral:rRNA from 1 species
UACGUAGGGUGCAAGCGUUAAUCGGAAUUAUUGGGCGUAAAGGGCGCGUAGGCGGCCUUGCAAGUCGGUUGGUGAAAGCCCGGGGCUCAACCCCGGAGGUGCGGCCGAGACUGCAGGGCUGGAGGCCGGAAGAGGAGGGUGGAAUACCCAGUGUAGAGGUGAAAUUCGUAGAUAUCAAGCGGAACACCGGUGGCGAAGGCGGCCUUCUGGAUAGUGACUGACGCUGAGGCGCGAAAGCGUGGGGAGCAAACAGG